CACCCCUCUCACAUUGGUACACCCCCCCCCCCCUCCCCCGGUAUUCAUUGUCUUCUACAGUAGAGCGGGACAUUUAAUUUACUCUCAGCGGAAUUGACCGGAGAAGGCAUCAGUUCAUGCACUGCACUGGCCUGCACCACGAUUAGUAUAAGGCACAUUUCACGAAGCAGAACGCAGUCUUCAGAGAUAUCCACGUGAACGCUGUGAUACGUCUGACCUUCAGUCCGAAGAAGAAACCCAGACCAGUCUUAAAAGAAAGCACAAACCAAAUCCCCUGUACACAUAUACGGACUCAGAGGAUGAGUUUUUUUGUGGGGAAAGCCUACAAAAAAACGGUUUCCCCAGGCCCCUCGAGUGAAAAUACCAGCCCUCAUCACUCCGCAGUCUGCCCCCCAGCCCACUGAUAGCAACCAUCAUAAUGCCCCACCCAGCUUCCGGCACCUUUCGCCACUCCGGCACAAACCGACACAGCUUUGCGAUCUCGCCAGCAUGCAGAGUCUGAUGUCUUCCCUAUAGAUGAUUCCAGAGACUCUGUGAGGCCACUAUUACAAGGUGAGACGCUUUGCGUUGAUUGGUGCUGCUGGACCACACUGGAGGUGCGAGUCCGCCGUGUAAUGGUUUAUGCCAUUACAAAGGAGCUGGCCUCUGUACUCAACUGGGCAGGGGAAAAAAAACAAGGACCAGACAAAGCAAAAAAGGGCAUUUAAAGAGACAGCGCCGUGCAGAUGCAUAUUUGGUAAGUUUUAACAUUUAUUGUAGUUUUAUGAGCCUAAAGUGAACAAU